UACGUAGGGUGCAAGCGUUAAUCGGAAUUACUGGGCGUAAAGCGUGCGCAGGCGGUCUUGCAAGACAGGUGUGAAAUCCCCGGGCUUAACCUGGGAACUGCACUUGUGACUGCAAGGCUGGAGUGCGGCAGAGGGGGAUGGAAUUCCGCGUGUAGCAGUGAAAUGCGUAGAUAUCUGGAGGAACACCGGUGGCGAAGGCGGCAUCCUGGACCGGCAUUGACGCUGAGGCGCGAAAGCCAGGGGAGCAAACGGG
rnacentral:rRNA from 1 species